AAUCUGUUCAUUGCGCUCAAAAUUUUAGAGAAAGACAUGAGAAAUGAUGAAGAAGUGGAUGAUUGACAGAGAGUUCAGCUGAGUUUCAGUUUGGUGAGAGGAUGUCUAAUAUAGAGGGCACUCCAGGAGUGGGCCUAGCAGCCUUAGCUGGAUGAGGGGGUCCCAUGGAAGAGGAUUGCCUAACACAUGAUUCUGAACUUCAUCCUUACAGACCCGCGAAUGUGUUUCUCAACGACCUGGGGACCAUAUCCGAAAUGUCAUCAUCAAUGGAGAUGGCACCUACCUACCUCUCAGUUUCUGUGGGAGGGU
rnacentral:lncRNA from 1 species